GUCUAUUUGGAGAUAUAAAUAGUCUGGCCUGCUCACUGAUGUAAAUAUUUAAGAGCCGCGGUAUUUUGACCGUGCAAAGGUAGCAUAAUCAUUAGUUUUUUAAUUGAGAACUUGUAUGAAUGGUCGGACAAAGGAAAAGCUGUCUCUAUUAUAAAAAUUGAAGUUAACUUUUAAGUGAAAAGGCUUAAAUAUUUCAAGGGGACGAUAAGACCCUGUAAAGCUUUAUAAAUUAAUUAAAUUUUAUUGAAUUAAAGUUAAAGAUUUAGUUUGAUUGUUUUAUUUUAUUGGGGCGAUAUAAAUAUAAUUUAUAUUAACUGUUUAAAAUUUAUACAAAAAUAUUUGAAUUUAAAGUUAAAAGAUCCUCUUUAGGGAUUUAAAGACUAAGUUACUUCAGGGAUAACAGCGUUAUUCUUUUUGAGAGUUCAUAUCGAAAAAGGAGUUUGCGACCUCGAUGUUGAAUUAAAUUGUCUAUAUAGUGCAGCUGCUAUAAAAGAGGGUCUGUUCGACCUUUAAAUUUUUACAUGAUU
rnacentral:rRNA from 1 species